GAUGAACGCUGGCGGCGUGCUUAACACAUGCAAGUCGAACGGGAUCCCAGGGGUGCUUGCACUUUUUGGUGAGAGUGGCGAACGGGUGAGUAACACGUGAGUAACCUGUCCUUUUCUUUGGGAUAGGCAUUCGAAAGGGUGUUUAAUACCUUAUGUUCUGUCUGCCUCGCAUGGGGUGGGUGGGAAAGGCUUUGGCCGGAUUUGGGUGGGCUCGCGGUCUAUCAGCUUGUUGGUGGGGUGAUGGCUUACCAAGGCUUUGACGGGUAGCCGGCCUGAGAGGGUGGUCGGUCACAUUGGGACUGAGAUACGGCCCAGACUCCUGCGGGAGGCAGCAGUGGGGGAUAUUGCACAAUGGGCGAAAGCCUGAUGCAGCGACGCCGCGUGGGGGAUGAAGGCCUUCGGGUUGUAAACUUCUUUUGCUCUGAACAAGGCAUGCCAGUGGGUGUGUUGAGUGUAGGGGUUGAUUAGCGCCGGCUAACUACGUG
rnacentral:rRNA from 1 species